rnacentral:rRNA from 1 species
AAUGGGCGAAAGCCUGACGGAGCAACGCCGCGUGAGGGACGAAGGCCUCUGGGCUGUAAACCUCUUUUCUCAAGGAAGAAGAUAUGACGGUACUUGAGGAAUAAGCCACGGCUAAUUCCGUGCCAGCAGCCGCGGUAAUACGGGAGUGGCAAGCGUUAUCCGGAAUUAUUGGGCGUAAAGCGUCCGCAGGCGGCCUUUCAAGUCUGCUGUUAAAGCGUGGAGCUUAACUCCAUUAUGGCAGUGGAAACUGAUCGGCUUGAGUAUGGUAGGGGCAGAGGGAAUUCCCGGUGUAGCGGUGAAAUGCGUAGAUAUCGGGAAGAACACCAGUGGCGAAGGCGCUCUGCUGGGCCAUUACUGACGCUCAUGGACGAAAGCCAGGGGAGCGAAAGGGAUU